CGUAUCCAACCUGCCGUCUACUCUUGGACAGCCUUCUGAAAGGAAGAUUAAUACAAGAUGGCAUCAUGAGUCCGCAUGUUCACAUGAUUAAAGGUAUUCCGGUAGACGUUGGGGAUGCGUUCCAUUAGAUAGUAGGCGGGGUAACGGCCCACCUAGUCUUCGAUGGAUAGGGGUUCUGAGAGGAAGGUCCCCCACAUUGGAACUGAGACACGGUCCAAACUCCUACGGGAGGCAGCAGUGAGGAAUAUUGGUCAAUGGGCGAGAGCCUGAACCAGCCAAGUAGCGUGAAGGAUGACUGCCCUAUGGGUUGUAAACUUCUUUUAUAAAGGAAUAAAGUCGGGUAUGCAUACCCGUUUGCAUGUACUUUAUGAAUAAGGAUCGGCUAACUCCGUGCCAGCAGCCGCGGUAAUACGGAGGAUCCGAGCGUUAUCCGGAUUUAUUGGGUUUAAAGGGAGCGUAGAUGGAUGUUUAAGUCAGUUGUGAAAGUUUGCGGCUCAACCGUAAAAUUGCAGUUGAUACUGGAUACCUUGAGUGCAGUUGAGGCAGGCGGAAUUCGUGGUGUAGCGGUGAAAUGCUUAGAUAUCACGAAGAACUCCGAUUGCGAAGGCAGCCUGCUAAGCUGCAACUGACAUUGAGGC
rnacentral:rRNA from 1 species